rnacentral:rRNA from 1 species
UACGUAGGUGGCAAGCGUUGUCCGGAAUUAUUGGGCGUAAAGCGCGCGCAGGCGGUUUCUUAAGUCUGAUGUGAAAGCCCCCGGCUCAACCGGGGAGGGUCAUUGGAAACUGGGGAACUUGAGUGCAGAAGAGAAGAGCGGAAUUCCACGUGUAGCGGUGAAAUGCGUAGAUAUCGGGAGGAACACCAGUGGCGAAGGCGCGUUUCUGGGCUGCAACUGACGCUGAUGCGCGAAAGCUAGGGGAGCAAACAGG